UAUUUCGUGAAUCAAAAGCGGGGCAUUGCCCCUCUUUUUGGACCAAAGGAGUGAAGCACAGACCAAGGAGUCUAACAUGUGUGAGAGUCAAUAGGCAAGUAAACUCGUAAGGCACAAGUUUAUUGGUAGGAUCCCCCUGUGGGUUGCAUCGUUAACUAACCCUGAUCUUCUAUGAAAUGUUCGAGUGAAAGCAUACCUGUUGGGACCCAAAAGAUGGUGAACUAUGCCUAAGUAAGGCAAUGCUAGAGGAAACUCUAGUGGGGGCUCAUAGUGAUACUGACGUGCAAAUCAUUCAUCUAACUUGGGUAUAAGGGUGAAAGAUUAAUUGAACCAUCUAGUAGUUAGUUCCUUCCGAAGUUUCCCUCAAGAUAGAUGAAGCCUGUAGGUGAGUUCUAUCGAGUAAAGCCAAUGUGAUUAGAGGCAUCAAGGGCGCAAUUCCCUCGACCUAUUCUCAAACUUUAAAUAGGUAAGACGACACAACUACUUUUUUGAGUCGUGCCACGGAAUCAAGAGCUCCAAGUGGGUCAUUCUUGGUAAGUAGAACUGACAAUGCGUGAUGAACCAGAAGUUGCGUUACAAUUUCCAAUUGUGCGCUAGCCUAGACUCUACAAAGGGUGUUGGUCAAUUAAGACAAUAGAACGGUGGUCAAGGAAGUCGAAAUUCGCUAAGGAGUGUGUAACAACUCAUCUACCGAAUCAACUAGCCCAAAAAAUGGAUGGCGCUAAAGCGUGCAAUCUAUACCCGACUGUUGGGGCAAGGACCACGCCUGGAUAAGUAGGAGGACGCGACAAUCACUUCAAAAUCCAAGGUGCGAGCCCCGACAAAGCGUUUGUCGGUGAAAAUCUUGGUGCUAGUAGCAAAUAUUCAAAUGAGAAUUUUGAAGGCUAAAGAGGGGGAAAGGUUCCAUUUGAAUGACACUUGCAUAUGGGUUAGAUGAUCUUAAGGGAUGGGGGAAGCCCCUUAGGAUUAACGAGAUUCCCAUUGUCCCUGUCUACUAUCCAGCAAAACCACAACCAAGGGAACAUACUUGGCGGAAUAAACGGGGAAAGAAGACCCUAUUGAGUUGAACUCUAGUUCGCUUUGUGAAAUGACUUGAGAGGUAUAGGAUAAGUGGGAGCUGGAAACAGUGAAAGUGAAAUACCACUACUUUUAACGUUCUUUUACUUAUUCCAUGAAUCGGAAGUGGGGCACUACCACUUUUUUUGGACCCAAGGUCGACUUCAGUCUGUCAAUUCGGGCAGAAGACAUUGUCAGGUGGGGAGUUUGUCUGGGGCAGCACAUAUGUUAAAAGAUAACAUAAGUGUCCUAAGAUGAGCUCAACGAGAACAAAAAUCUCAUGUGGAACAAAAGGAUAAAAGCUUGUUUGAUUUUGAUUUCCAGUACGAAUACAAACCAUGAAAGUGGGGUCUAUCGAUCCUUUAGUCUUUCAAAUUUUGAAGCUAGAGGUGUUAGAAAAGUUACCAUAGGAAUAAAUGGCUUAUGGCAGCCAAGCGUUCAUAGAUAUGUUGCUUUUUGAUCCUAUGAUGUUGGCUUUCCCUAUCAUUAUGAAGCAAAAUUCACCAAGUGUUGGAUUUUUCACCCACCAAUAGGGAAUGUGAGUUGGGUUUAGACCUAGUACGAGAGGACAUGUUAGUUUUACCCUAUUAAUGAUAGUGUCAGAAUAGUAAUUCAACCUAGUACAAGAGAAACUGUUGAUUCACACAAUUGGUCAUCGUGCUUGGUUGAAAAGCCAGUGGCGUGAAACUAUCGUGCGUUGGAUUAUGACUGAAUGCUUCUAAGUUAGAAUCUGAGCUAGAAGUAACGCAUGCGCUAACUGUCUGUUUGUCGAAUAGUAGUAGGUGGUCUCGGCGCCCCAAAGGCACGUGUUG
rnacentral:rRNA from 1 species